rnacentral:tRNA from 1 species
AGUCGCUUAGCUCAGUUGGUUAGAGCACCUCCCUUACAAGGAGGGGGUCCACGGUUCGAGCCCGUGAGCGACUACCA